GUGAACGCCCUCACGGGCUUAUAACUAUUCCAAACCUCUGUGAACCGUGCCCUUCGGGGCUAUUUUACAAACAUGGUGCAAUGAACGUCAUAUAUCAUAACAAAACA
rnacentral:misc_RNA from 1 species